GAGUUUGAUCCUGGCUCAGGAUGAACGCUGGCGGUAUGCCUAACACAUGCAAGUCGUACGAGGGUUUUUAACUCUAGUGGCGGACGGGUGAGUAACACGUGAGGAUUUGCCUUUAGGAGGGGGAUAACAAUCGGAAACGAAUGCUAAUACCCCAUAUGCUUUUGAGUGAAACGGAUUUAUCCGCCUAAAGAGAUGCUCGCGGCUGAUUAGCUUGUUGGUAAGGUAAGAGCUUACCAAGGCGACGAUCAGUAUCUGGUUUGAGAGGACGAUCAGACACACUGGAACUGAGACACGGUCCAGACUCCUACGGGAGGCAGCAGUGGGGAAUUUUCCGCAAUGGGCGAAAGCCUGACGGAGCAAUACCGCGUGAGGGAAGACUGCCUAUGGGUUGUAAACCUCUUUUUUCAGGGAGGAAUAAAAUGACGUGUACCUGAAGAAUAAGCAUCGGCUAACUCCGUGCCAGCAGCCGCGGUAAGACGGAGGAUGCAAGUGUUAUCCGGAAUCACUGGGCGUAAAGCGUCUGUAGGUGGUUUAAUAAGUCAACUGUUAAAUCUUGAGGCUCAACUUCAAAAUCGCAGUCGAAACUAUUAGACUAGAGUAUAGUAGGGGUAAAGGGAAUUUCCAGUGGAGCGGUGAAAUGCGUAGAUAUUGGAAAGAACACCGAUGGCGAAAGCACUUUACUGGGCUAUUACUAACACUCAGAGACGAAGCUAGGGUAGCAAAUGGGAU
rnacentral:rRNA from 1 species